UGGGGAAUAUUGCACAAUGGAGGGAACUCUGAUGCAGCGACGCCGCGUGAGUGAUGAAGGAAUUCGUUUCGUAAAACUCUGUUCUAUGGGAAGAAAAGGACUGUACCAUAGGAGAAAGCUCCGGCUACAUACGUGCCAGCAGCCGCGGUAAUACGUAUGGAGCGAGCGUUGUCCGGAAUUAUUGGGCGUAAAGGGUGCGCAGGCGGCUUUACAAGUUGGAUGUGAAAUAUUGUGGCUCAACCACAAACGUGCAUCCAAAACUGCAAAGCUUGAGUUAAGGAGAGGUAAGUGGAAUUCCUGGUGUAGCGGUGGAAUGCGUAGAUAUCAGGAGGAAUACCGGUGGCGAAGGCGACUUACUGGACUUAAACUGACGCUCAGGCACGAAAGCGUGGGGAGCAAACAGG
rnacentral:rRNA from 1 species